rnacentral:rRNA from 1 species
CGUAGGGACCAAGCGUUGUUCGGAUUUACUGGGGCGUAAAGGGCGCGUAGGCGGCGCGGUAAGUCACUUGUGAAAUCUCUGAGCUUAACUCAGAACGGCCAAGUGAUACUGCAGUGCUAGAGUGUGGAAGGGGCAAUCGGAAUUCUUGGUGUAGCGGUGAAAUGCGUAGAUAUCAAGAGGAACACCUGAGGUGAAGACGGUUGCUGGGCCAACACUGACGCUGAGGCGCGAAAAGCCAGGGGAGCAAAACGGGAUU